AUCUCAGCUCGGGAGUCUGAAAUGCUCCAUUAAAUCACCGCACAGGCAACGGGAAUGCCAGGUACUCCACCCUGGUGCCUAACCUUGACCUGGAGGGUUCAUCUCUCAAGGUCUGAGGGUAGUUCAGCCUCCAUGCCCCCCGGGGCCCUGUACACA
ensembl:misc_RNA